UCAAACUUGGUCAUUUAGAGGAAGUAAAAGUCGUAACAAGGUUUCCGUAGGUGAACCUGCGGAAGGAUCAUUAAAAAGGUUACCAGCCCAUCCGGUUGGAUCCUCAAACCACUGUGUACCAAACUCUUCGUUGCCUCGGCGGGCUGGGCGCUGGGUUUUUUCUCGACCCGGCCGCCCCCUCCCCUCGCGGGAGGAGCCGCCUGCCAAAGGAUUUUCAAAAACCAAUUCGUUGACGAACGUCUGAUUUUUACAUUUUGCAAAUGCAAGAAUACAACUUUCAACAAUGGAUCUCUUGGCUCCGGCAUCGAUGAAGAACGCAGC
rnacentral:misc_RNA from 1 species